UCAUUCAAUACAAUUCAACUUUACAUUGCUAUGUAUUUAUACACCAAAGAAGGAAAGGAAAAGAGGAAGUAAAACUGAUUCUGUUAUAACAGAAUCAGUUUCCUUGAUCAGCAAGAAACCGAAAAAUAUCUAUUCUAGGCUAGAUACAUUGAUGAAUGAUGAAGCUAGGAUGAAUACAGAUACAUUUUAAUAUGAAUUGAAUAAGGAAAAGAUGACUAGAUUCAUUUGUUUCAUUUGUUGAUGAAUGUUGAUGAGUAGCUUGGGAAGCAAGGCACUUGGUAGGAUACAUCCUUUUGUUAUGUUUUAUGUUGCUUCUGGAUAGUAUAUC
rnacentral:lncRNA from 1 species